AAUAGAACCACAGACGAGAACGGGCUCUCCUCUCUCUCCCUCCCCGCGAUGCUCGAUCUGGUGCCGCGCCGAUCUGGCGGCGGAUGCGGCGUCUUGCUCCAUUUGCGAUGGCGUCCUGCUGAUCAAGAGAAAGAGAGAGACAGGGCGUGAGGGAGAGAGGAAAGAGAGGAAGAAAGGAGAAGGAGAAGGGGCACAAGGUGAGGGAGGCGGUCGCCGGCGGUGGCGGCUCCAGCGGGCGGGCAGGGAGACGAGCUCCUGUUGUGGCGGCGGGGAUCGGUGCGGGCUGGUUCCUCCGGAUCGAGCCUUGGCUCUCCCGAGGCGUGCGGCUGCCGGCUCGGUGAUCCUUCUCCCCCGCCCUCCCACUCCAUGGCCAACGACACGAUGUGCGGCGACCUAUUCCGCUCCCCGCCAUGGCUCCUCUCUCUCCCCCCACCAGCGCCCUCCUCACCCCUUCCCCACUCCCAACUGAUUCCCAAGGCUGCACCCUCACUCUGUCGUUAGAUCUGGUCUGGACCGAGCUCCUCCGAUGUCCCUGCUAGAGCUGAGCGAGGACGAGGAGACCACCACCUGCUCUAGCUGCGCAAGGCCACGCAGAGAGGCCAACCUCAUCCUCCAUCAAGACCAGAUACAAUUUACUCAAGGGUAGAGUAGCUUUGGUUAUGUGCACUGUUUGGUAGAGGCCUGGGUUGUUCUCUUCCAUCCAUUACUAAAAGUACUGCAUAUUAAUUUUUUUGACCUUUUUCUUCUAACUGCCUUCUUGUAUUGCUGAUACCAUAAAGGGCUGCAACUUUAGUAGAUCUCUCCUAUAUUCGUCCACUCUUAUGUGCCUUUGUGGAUUCUGAAUUUUAAAUCCUUUUACGGUUCUACUUACGCCCUUUUAUAUUUCCAGCUAUUGGAGGCGAGUACAUGUCGGUCACGGAUGCUGGUUAUCUAUCAGUUUUGUUCGAUGUAGGAGAAAUCAUUGGUGGAAUUCUUGCUGGGUUCAUGUCUGAUCAGCUCGAUGCUAGGGCCACUACUGCAUGUAUCUGGCAAUUCCAUCUCUUUAUGCCUUUCGUGCAUAUGGCUGUACUUCAAAAGUGCAUAUACUAAAAUUAGUGAAGGAUAUCCAACGCAUCAAACAUGGUUUUUUAUUUGUAAAAAUACUAGCCCGUGCAGGUGCACGGGUUGACGACAUCUACAGCCACGACCCCUCCGUCGUCCUCGUCACCUGGCACCUUGAGUGGAAGGGGCUGCCGUUCCAGUUCAGCAGGGUCUGGACCCUCUACCGCAGUGAGCUCGGCCCGCAUCGGCAACAGCGGAUUCAGAUUUUUUUGCACUGUGGAUAAAUUGCAGUGUAUGGUCGGUGUUAUAAGUAUAAAGUGUAGGCAGAUCAAGAUGCAAGUUUCUUUGGUUUUGACUCCAAGCAUGAAUAUUUGAUAAUUAGAGAGAAGGCUCUUAGGUAAAGAUCUUUGCCUAGAUCAAUGUAGUCAUAUAGGCCAUGAGUUAUCUUCUAGCAAAAAUAUAGCAAUAGUUUCUUCUUUGUCUAUUCCUCUUUUUUCUUUGUUGCUUCUUUAUUUUCUCAAUGUUGAGCUUCCCUGUAUGAUGAUUGUAAUGAGCCAGAUUGGCAAAGACUGGACAUUCUAAAUUUGGAAGAAUGCAAUGAUCAUUUUUUUGUGUGCAGCUGUAAAUGCAACGCACAACGAAACAAAAAAUAGAUAUUCCUAGGCUCGAUCUUUCUACUGCAAUUAAAUACUUAUUAUGACACUUUUGUCAAUCUGUUUGGCAUGUUUUAUUAUCUUCUUCUGAAUGUUUGGAGAUGGUGGCCUGUGAGGAGGAUUUCAGAGGAGAUCGUCUGUGAAUAUAACAAGAGGCUGAGAUUUGACCUGCACUGCAUGCGAAAAGCAGGUUCAGGAGCUCCAAGCUAACAAUUGCCAGAGCUUUGAAAAGAUAUUUUUACAAUUAAAGUGAAGAUGCUGUGAUGGUGUCAUUUUUUUGAAACGUCAAAGAGGAAUUUCAGGAAGGCACCCCUUUCUUCUUCAGAGGCCAGAGUAUUUGGGAAGCAGUCAUUAGGGAACUUUUAUCGAAAGGCCUAUCACAUGCUAAAGAAGUAGCCUUCCUACAAAAAAAGGGUAGUUGAUUCUUUAGAAGUGUUUGGAGCAACCAAAAUUCAAGUGAGAACACGAUACUUCACUGGUGUGUCCAUACAUAUGUCUAUAUAUACGGUGAAACUCUCAAGUGAGUAUGAAUCAAAUGAAUGAUGCCCCAAGAGCUCAGGUGCAUUUCAAAAUGUUCUAUUCCUCCCACAUUCAGCCAACUGGAGUACCCUGCUCUCCCUUCUAGAGGUUCUACAGUUCAAUCCCUAUUUUACGAAUCAGGUGCUUGCAUUCUAUUGUAUCAAGAUGUGUAAAUAGUUAGUAAGUUGUCUAGCUCACGAAAGUCUACAUGGAAUGAGUUCUGUAGUUCUCAUAUAUUUUUUACUAAAGGAAAAAUGAAUUUACUUGGACAAGGGUGGAUGAAAUAUCAAUUGGGAUUAGUAUGGUGUAUUUUUACUUGGUGUGUCCAUGCGUAUGUUUGUUACUGAUCAUACCUAUAUAUAUCUUCUAGAACUGAUGGUGAGUUGUAUGUUACUCUGUGUUGUGUACAAUGGAUUCUUCCUUGCCUAUUUUCCCUGUCAUGACAAGGCUUCCAUAGCGUAUCUCCCAUAGCAACGGACGGGCGAAGGAGGCGGUUGUCACCGACGGCGGGGCCAGAUGUGUCGGACGCGCGCCACUCGCCUGCAGUCAACGCAGACAUACAUAGCGACCGUCCAUGGCGGCGAGCGGCUCCGGGGGGUGGCGACGGGGUUGGGUGGUUCAAGCGGCCACUUCUGCAGCUACAUGGGAUUUCUUCAGGACCAUCAGCAGGUACGGGAUUUCUUCAGGACGAUGACUCAGACCAUAUCUGCAUGCAGAGAACACAUAUGAACUACUCCUGAGAUUGUGACUGAGCUACAUGGUAAUUUACUGUUAAAUUAUAAUGUUGGGGGAUUGUGCAAUGCGACUGAAUGAAAACUGGCAGUGAAUGGAUAUUUACCUUAUAAAGGAUGCUGGGGUGCUAGGCGCAACUGCUGGCUCCACGUCCUCUAUGAAUAGUGUCGCAUGAAAAAAAAUAGCAAGCAGCGAGAUAAGAAGGGCCGAAGGGAGCGGGCAGCGAGAGAGACCUAGCCCGCGUCUCCCCCACGACCCUCGUUCCUCUUGCCGCCGCCGCCACCGCUGCCCACGAUGGAGCCUACGCCCACCCCUCUCUCGCUCGAUUCCUCACCUCUCCUCGCUCGAUUCCUCGUCUCUCCUCGCUCAAGUCCUCUCUCUCUCCCUUUCCUGACACCACCGCCCUCCCGUCCAGUGAGGGGUCCGUAGACGUCGUCUUUCUGGACGCCGACUUCGCCCAGCCGGCUGGACGCUGCCUCGGCGACGAGGGCCCCGUAGAUGUCGCCAACUUUGCCCAGCAGGCCUUCCACCAUGUCGUCUCCUUCGGCGCUAUGAGCCAGGGGCGUGUUUCCGGUUCAAGGUGUCAUGGAUAGCCAACAGGAUGGGGGACCAGGGCGGUGACGUCAAGCUCCUACUGUGGAGUCCUAGGGCUGUACGCCAGCAACAAUAUUUCUCCUCCCCUCAACCCCCACGAACUAUCUAUUCUGUUUCUACAAUUUCAAUGGCUUAGUUUCAUGUGUCAGAUCGUUGUUGCCCAAUUUAUACCAGUCUGAUUACAGUAGACCAUCUAUGCAGUACGGCACCUAUAGGCUUUCCUAUUCUGGUCUUCCUACUAUAAUUAUAUUUGAUGUAAUGUAUGAGAGGCAUUAUUUAAGAAGAUCAACACGCGUCAAGUUUGGUAAUUACCUGCGGUCACCUAUGCCAAACAUAAUUAAAUUUACUGCUUGCUAAAUCCAUCAAUGGCAGUUCUUUACCAUUAGUUUGUUUCAUAAUUUGAACUAUUCCCCAUGAAACGAUGCCCAUUAUACAAAUGCAAUUCCCACACCACAUAAACCAUGUGGUGUGCUCUUUUUGUAUUCAUUGGUUGGGACAGCUGCGGGGCUGACGGCGGCAUUCGGGGUUUGAGAUGGCACAAGAUGAAGAGCUCCUUUUGCCAUUCUCUCUGCAAAGAUAUAUGCUAGAUUAGUUGAUCCAGGGCUGAAGUUGUAUACCAAAAUAAUGCUGAGAAAUUUAAAGGUGAAAAUUAGCAAGCAAGCUACAGUCGGUGCAUGGAUGACCAACUUUACUUGUUACUUUAUGAAGAUGAUGAUUCCUAAAUAGAAUUACGAGCUAGGUCCUGCAUGUUGAUCGUGCUUCAAGGGUAGAAGAGGAUGGGAGGAGGGGGCGCGUGCUCCAUAUUUUGUUAUGCACACCUUCCUAAACUAUACUUUUCUUCUUAACAUAUGUUCAUUGUCCAGUAGAAGCUGUAGAUUUCAGCGUACAAUAAUUUCCAAAAUGGUAGAAGGAUGCUUGGUCAAGAAUGCAGGGUGAGCAAAAGAAAACUAUGAACGCUUUUAUCUCUCUGGCCAUCUAGAGCAUAUGGAGGGAGCAAGAUAGCGGGCUCUGUGUCUUCACACCGCCCCAGAGGGGGUGCCACUGAGGGCUUUCUCAUGGAAUGCGGUGCAAUGUGUUUUUAUGCACGCCUAUGAGCAGGCUACCCUGCACGCUGAUCUUCUACUACUUUCCCAGGCCUAUUACUUCCCCCUGAGAUGCUUCCAAGGGUUCUAUUCGGCUCCAUUGUAUUUUUCUUUCUUUUUUGAUUGCUUUUUCUUCUCUGUUUCUUUUUUUAUAUGCAAGGCCAUAAAUGUUUACCAUGCAUCCUUGCUCACACAGAAAAUUACUUCAAUAUACACAUGCUUCUAAAAAUGCACAUCCUUUUCGAAACUAUGUAUAUUUAUUAUCAAAGGUUAUAAGGCAGAAUGUGUUUGCCCAUGACUAAAACAAGUAAUACAUUGUACUUUUUUCAAAGCACACGUGGAAUUAGCGGGCUCCUUUAGGUAUUUCAAGGGAAAAACAGAAUUUGUUUAACUAAUUUUCUAUAUUGCUUAUUUAUGCAUUUGUGACCGUAGCUUUCCACUUUAGCUCAUAAACUGGAUGGCAAAAUAGAGUUUGCCCAUUUCAUAUCUAUGUUGUCUUAUUAGGAAAAUACAUUUUGUUUUAUAGCUGAUGCUUAAUAUGUUUUAUCGACCGGUGAAUGCCCAACUUUAGCUCAUAGACUGGAUGGCAAAUGCUAAUCUGAUGGGGCUUUUGCCACUUUUUGUUUUAUGAUUGUCUAGACAGCUGAUGGCAUGCUUCUUUCUUGCGAAUUGUCAAUUCUUUUGUACAGGGUCCCUCAGCUACUUAUGUUGCUAGACAAUGAGAGUAUAUAGAUAGCAUGUAUGGUUUCUACAUUGUUUUGCGCAUGUUGAGAUGCAUCACAUGAUGUUUUCCUUUUACAUUUAUGAGUAUUACAGAGUCCUUUCUUUUUCCACAAGGGGUAGUAGCCGUGCCAUUUGAUUCGAAGGACAAAGAGUUGAUCACAAGGGGUAGCAUUCAGGAUAUAUACACAAGAGUAUAGAAACAAGUUAUAUGAUGCAAUUGACCACUAUUUCUAUUAACUUCUCCUGUACACAAUGUUCACGAGUUAAUAUAUUAAGUACAUUUUAUUGUGUCACUUGUGUUUACUCUUUUUUUAAUGCAAGUUUACAGCUACUUGGAGUUCCUAAUUGUAGACUCAACUAUCUUGACCUACCAAUGUACUCAAAUAUAUGGUUAUUGAAAAAAUGCAAAUAUUUUCAACACGAACAUGGUUUUAAACGGGUCUUUGCGCCAUUUGGCGCAACUGGUCAUCUAGUGCACUUAAAAGACUGUAAAAGCUGAGUGUCAGCAUCAAUGUAGAUGUCCGGGAGUGAUUUAGUAGGAUGUCGAACCUAAACUACAGAAAACAUGCAUCUGAUGGAGAAGUGUUGUUCUGAAAAAUGGGUUCAUAGCUUCAUAUGUUAAACUGAAAGCAUGCAUAUUUGAAUCUGAAAAAUGGGUUCAUAAAUUCAUAUAAAAAACUGGAGGUUUUUUAAUUCAGAAUCUGAAGUUUGUCCCGCAUUGCAUCAUCAAGUAAAAGACUGUAGUUUGUAUUCCUCAUGUGUGCUGCACUUGCAGGGUCAGAGUUGGUAGCCAUCCCCUGGACAGGGCGCCAUGUCUAGGGCGUGUUGGCGUGCUUGAGCAGACGAUACGCGUAUGUUUGUUGCGAGGUGGAGAAGGAAUACGCCAUGGAUGGAUUUUGAUUGCUUUGAUGACAACAGUUUCAACUUAGUAAGCCAUAUGCUGAUAUUCAUGUGACUGUGAUCUCGGAAAUAAAAGUUCAAAGGAAAGGAACAGAAACCUUCACUAAACAUAGAGUUGUAUUGUACCUGUACUGAGAAAGGUUUGUAGAGUAUGAAAAUAUGUUUCGAGAUGAAACAAAUUAUGAUUAUUAGUCAUGGCAGUUGUAGGAACAGAUAGAGUCAACUAGGUGUUGUAAUGCUGGACUAAGGAUGGACCAUACUCAGAGAAAUCAAAAUAUCUGCGGCCCUCCAUGGAAUAAUAUAUUCGACAUGUUCCCAUUGUGCUUUACAAAA